rnacentral:rRNA from 1 species
UGUAAGCGUAUAACAAAGUUGUUGCAGUUAAAACGCUCGUAGUCGGAAUUUGGCAGUUCCGGAAGUGUGCACGUCGUGUGCGCACUUUGCGGGGACUGCUUUUGUGGUCUUGCGUAGGAUGAGGCACUUUCAUUAGUGAACGUCCUCACGCAACCACUCUUUACUGUGAGAAAAUCAGAGUGCUCAAAGCAGGCAUUUGCCGUGAAUGUAUUAGCAUGGAAUAAUAGAAUAGGACUCGGUUCUAUUUUGUUGGUUUGUUGGGACUGAGUAAUGAUUAAGAGGGACAGUUGGGGGCAUUUGUAUUCCGGCGCUAGAGGUGAAAUUCUUAGAUUGCCGGAAGACAAACUGCUGCGAAAGCGUCUGCCAAGGAUGUUUUCAUUGA